rnacentral:rRNA from 1 species
UACACUCCUGCGGGAGGCAGCAGUGGGGAAUUUUGGACAAUGGGCGAAAGCCUGAUCCAGCAAUGCCGCGUGAGUGAAGAAGGCCUUCGGGUUGUAAAGCUCUUUUGUCAGGGAAGAAACGGUGAAAGCUAAUAUCUUUUGCUAAUGACGGUACCUGAAGAAUAAGCACCGGCUAACUACGUGCCAGCAGCCGCGGUAAUACGUAGGGUGCAAGCGUUAAUCGGAAUUACUGGGCGUAAAGCGUGCGCAGGCGGUUUUGUAAGUCUGAUGUGAAAUCCCCGGGCUCAACCUGGGAAUUGCAUUGGAGACUGCAAGGCUAGAAUCUGGCAGAGGGGGGUAGAAUUCCACGUGUAGCAGUGAAAUGCGUAGAUAUGUGGAGGAACACCGAUGGCGAAGGCAGCCCCCUGGGUCAAGAUUGACGCUCAUGCACGAAAGCGUGGGGAGCAAACAGGAUUAGAAACCCUAGUAGUCCCAUGAU